UAAUAAGGGAGGGACUUAUCGAUUUUAUUCGCGAUUUCUUGUCAAAUAUCAAUAGAAAUACGAAAAAUAAGAAACUCGUACAUCGGGCAUCCUCAAAAUAUUGUCUCAUUUAAAAGAUUUUACAAAAAGAAAAUCUAUGAAAAUAGCACUUCCCACUCAAUUUCACACCCAAAUCACAUCCACCUUGAACUUAGUCAAAUAUGGUUUAACGAAGAAAAUCAUCGUAAAAGUCGUUCAUCGGAACAUGAUUAUAGUUUUUCAAACGUCAAAUCGCCAACACAAAAAUGUAGUGUUUGUUGUGAAAAUGUCAUAAUUUCGGUGAUUUCGGUGUGAUUUAAUUCAGAUUUUGUGAGGAAAUGUGCUUCUUGUGUUGUUUUUAACAGUUCACUUAUCGGUUGACUUAAAAUAUUCGUCGAAGCAACCAAAAUUAUGAAAAAAAAAUUAUGACCAAUCAUGUAAACAAACAACAAUAUUGUCGUUUGGUGGGACGUGAGUUGCAGAAGAGAUGACCCAGUAGAAAUAAAAUGACGGCGGUAAUCUUAAAAAUUACGUUUUAGCGGAAACGUUUUGCUUUAAAUGUGUAUCCGUUUCCGGUAAAAUAAAUUAGUGCGAAAGCAACUACUUUUCAUGAGCUUUAUAAUAACACCUUUAGUUAGGGGUGGGUCACAUCCCUUAUUCAUGUGAAUAAAUGUAAA